CUUGCAGAUGGCUGCCUUCUCACUGUGACCUCAUAGGACCUUUCUUCUGUGCACAUGUGAAGAGAGUGAGUGAGCGAGCCCAGGUAUCCCUCUAGCUCCAGCCCUGCGAGGGAGAAGUCUGCAAAGGAAGAAGGGCCCGUGCCCACGGUUCAGUCUCAGAUGCUGGGCUGUAUAUUUAUCAGGAUGCCUAAAUGGCAGCAAAAGGAGUAGGGGCAGACGGGAAGAUGCAAAACCAUUACAUUGCUCCAGGGGACCAGUACCCUGCUCAAUGAAUUGUUCCAGACUUUUUACGGUCCGAAUUGUGUGCCCUGAAAAAUCCUAUGUCGAAGACCUGACCCACAGUACCUCAGAAAGUGGAGAAAGAUCUAUCAAGAUUCAGAUGAAAGCGACUAAGUUAAAACGAAGCUGUUGGAAUGAACUCUAAUCUGAUAGGUCCAGUGCCCCCACCAGGAGUGGCCGAGGCCCCAGGGAUGCACCUGCACAGAGGAAAGGAUGCGAGGGCACAGCGAGAAGGCGGCCCGCUGUCUGCAGGCCCGGAGACCUCAGGAGAAGCCAACCGGCUGGCGCUUUGAUCUUGGACUUUGGCCUCCAGAACCAUGGGAAAAUAAACGCCUGUGUGCUGAA